rnacentral:tRNA from 1 species
GGGUGGGUGGCUCAGUGGUUAGAGCCUAGGGCUUGUGAGCGAAAGGUCCCAGGUUCGAAUCUCGCGUCAGGUA